UUAACCAUAACAAUUAUAUACAGAGUGGGGCGUUCUCGCAUGACUGGUCCGAUCUUGUUUAUUCGAUAUACAAAAGGAUGCCAAAUUUUCGUUUCAUUGUAGUAUCGUUUAAUUGGUGUGAGUUUUGUUGAGAAGUGAAGGAACUAUGUCCGCGCGCAGUAACUGCAUAGUAGAAAUUGCGACAGGUAUGAGUAUUAUUAUUAUUAUAUUUUUAAAUUGAAUAGAUUCUGAAUACUCCGUGAAACAAUUUCUUCAGUUCAUGGUAUUGUUCGAAGCAAUAACUUAUUAUUGCCUCACUAAUUUUAGUGAUACAAAUUAUGAAACAACUGAUAAUUUGUUCUAGAGGUAUCGACGUUGAAAGAGAGGUUCAUUAAAAUAAGCAAUGUGCACCGAUAAGCCAUCAUUAUAGAUUGGAAGAUGGUGUAAGUAUAUCGAAUGUUUCAGACAAAAUAAUAUCAAUCUUCUCUAAGUUCAAUUCAUUCAGGUAUAUAGUCAGUUCAUCAAAGUUUUUCUGCAUACUUCUAAUGUUUAAAUGUAAUAAGUUAAAUUUCCUCUCCCGGCCAAGCUCAUUCCUCAACUUACCAAGAUCAUCAAAAAUUUUCGCUGCCGGAUGCUUACAUAUUUUCGCCUCAUCUGCUCCAUCCAAGAAACCGUUAAUGAUGAAGUCUCAGAACUUAUUCAUUCAAUCAAUAAAUUGAACCCAACCAACAAUUAUAAAAUAUUAAAUCUGAAAAAUGAAAAACUUUAACCAGUAAAGAAAAACAACUUAUUUAUUCAAUCAAUAAAUUGAACCCAACUAACAAUUAUAAAAUAUUAAAUCUGAAAAAUGAAAAACUUUAACCAGUAAAGAAAAACAACGUAACAGAAAAAAAACCCCCGCUCCCCUUCGAAGCAAAUUUAAUAUAAACUUCUAUUCUAGGUAGACAAACAUUGAUGUUAUCUGAAAUAUUUGCAGGUCAAGCAUUUAAACCUUGACCUUCUAAAUCGGAAAAGUCAUGAACACUACUUAUCUUCUUCCUUUUGUCACCCAUUUUAACAUGAAUAUUACCAUCAAAACUAUAAACAUUUCUUCUUCCAAACUUUAUUCCUAAUUUCGAAAGUAGUUCGAGUUUUCUAGGUGUUAAGUCCUCACAAAUUAACAUCUUAGAUCCCUUCAAGUGUUUUCUGUGAUCAAUAAGCUUCUUUUUGUUUUGAUAUCUACCAAGUACAAUAAUGACGGGCCGCUCCUUUUGACCUUUUCGUUCCCCAACACGAUAUACUCGUGUCAUCGGGCGUCAAGAAAAUUUUCAUGGUAUCCUUAAAAAUGUGCAUCAUUUUCCUACUGAUAUUUUCAUCCUCUUCUUCGGGAAUUCCAUAUAGACAAACAUGAUUCCUUUUUUCAUGUUGUUUACAGUCGUCUAAUCUUGACUCGAGAUACUGAAUCUUCUUAUCUUGUUCAUUUAUACGUGUUUCUAGUUCGUGAAUAUUUGACGUCACCUUUGCUAAUAUGCGAUUGAUAAAAUCCUCGUCAGAUAAGAGUUCCUUGAUAACUUCUUUUACGGUGAUUUUCAUGUCCAUAACUACCUUAGGACCCAUUGCAUACAGGUACUAGUUAUAACUAAUUUAUUGAUCUUUCAAUCAAGAAUUCAAGUUAAUUACAACAAUUUGACUACCUCAAUAUAACAAUUUUCGCAGGAGCGUAAGAUUGUACGUCUACUCACACCGCACCAUGCGUAAAGAAUCAAUAUAAAAAUUAAUUCAUGCUACAGAGAUAAUCAGAGUUGAGAGAAUAUUUUUUGAGAUUGAAAUCCAGAGUAUUAGAAAACCCAGAGAAUUAUUCAAAUUUGAAAUCUGGAUCGACAGUCUAAGAUCUGAGCUUUUUGACAAAUGAUUUGUUGGACGUCAUAGAGCCAAGUACGAGUAACAAAACUUGAUCAGAGGCCAACAAAUCCAAGAGAAGUAUAUAGGUACGAGACAUUAUCAUAAACAGUAUUGAGGAGAAUUAUCACGAGGAAAUUCUCAAUAUCCGAGACCCUGUUGAAGUAAUUAGAGGUUUGAGGUUCUCCAGGAAGUGCAGUCAAAUGUAACACACACUUCAGAGCAACGAUAAGCGAAGAAGAUGAGAUGAGCUUACAAUCGCAGACACAUUCCAAUAACGAGUUAUUAGGUUCGGAGGGAGAACCGGAAUCUGCGAUUGGGAGGGAGAAAGAGUAUAAUCUCAUCUCUUCAUCUAAAGAGAAAGUUUUACAAAUUUCAACUGACAAAACAGAUGGAACACAAUCUGAGCAACAAGAGAAAAAUUGUGAUUGCAGUCAUAUCAGUAGAAAUGUAAUUUAGAUCGAUGACUUGGAAUCACUC